AUUGAACGCUGGCGGCAUGCCUUACACAUGCAAGUCGAACGGCAGCACGGGAGCAAUCCUGGUGGCGAGUGGCGAACGGGUGAGUAAUAUAUCGGAACGUGCCCAGUCGUGGGGGAUAACGUAGCGAAAGCUACGCUAAUACCGCAUACGAUCUAUGGAUGAAAGCGGGGGAUCGCAAGACCUCGCGCGAUUGGAGAGGCCGAUAGCAGAUUAGGUAGUUGGUGGGGUAAAGGCGCACCAAGCCGACGAUCUUUAGCUGGUCUGCGAGGACGACCAGCCACAAGGGGACUGAGACACGGCCCAACCUCCUACGGUAGGCAGCAGUGGGGAAUUUUGGACAGUUGGCGCAAGCCUGAUCCAGCAAUGCCGCGUGCAGGAUGAAGGCCUUCGGGUUGUAAACUACUUUUGUCCGUAGCGAAAAGGCUCUCUCUAAUACAGGGGGCUCAUGACGGUACCGUAAGCAUAAGCACCGGCUAACUACGUGCCAGCCGCCGCCGUAA
rnacentral:rRNA from 1 species